GUGAGGAAUAUUGGUCAAUGGGCGCUAGCCUGAACCAGCCAAGUAGCGUGCAGGAUGACGGCCCUAUGGGUUGUAAACUGCUUUUAUGCGGGGAUAAAGUCACCCACGUGUGGGUGUUUGCAGGUACCGCAUGAAUAAGGACCGGCUAAUUCCGUGCCAGCAGCCGCGGUAAUACGGAAGGUCCGGGCGUUAUCCGGAUUUAUUGGGUUUAAAGGGAGUGUAGGCGGCCUGUUAAGCGUGUUGUGAAAUGUAGAUGCUCAACAUCUGAACUGCAGCGCGAACUGGCUGGCUUGAGUACACGCAACGUGGGCGGAAUUCAUGGUGUAGCGGUGAAAUGCUUAGAUAUCAUGAGGAACUCCUAUUGCGAAGGCAGCUCACGGGAGUGUCACUGACGCUUAAGCUCGAAGGUGCGGGUAUCAAACAGGA
rnacentral:rRNA from 1 species